UUUCUAAACCAAACAACAUGCAAUUAUCAUUUUAUUAACUAAGUAUCAUGUUUAGAAUUAAUAAACUAAAUAAUCCCAAACCUAAGAUAUAAAAGCAAGAAAUAAAUAUAAUUACAACCCUAAAAACAAGUAAGGAAAACUUUAAUUGAACUUUUAAAAUAAUAAUAAAAGAAUGAACAGCUAGUCUGAGGUUCCUCUAAUGCCAUUUCGGGUCCUAGUUUUCUGUGUUACCUGAAAGAUAAAAAAGGGGGAGUGAGCUUAUGACGACUCAGUGUGAGUCUAAUUUUUAAACCAUUAUAUAAAAUUGUUCAAACAGUAAAGCAUUUAACUUAUAUCAUCAUAGAAAAAUAAACAUAAUGCAAGGAUCACUUAGUAAAUCAAUGCAUGAACAUAAUAAAUUCAUGAUGCAAUUCAAUUUUUAAUUUUAAAUUCCCAUUCAUCCAUCAUAACCGCCCUCAAGCAUCGCUCGGCACACCAAAACACAUGUCAAUAACUUACCAUCUCCGAUUUCCCGAUGACAAUGGCCAUUCACUUGUCAUCUGUGACGAUGAAUUUUACAACAAUAACUUACCAUCUCGAUUGCCCAAUUUUGAUGGCAUUUUAAACUAUCAUCCUAGUUUACCCGGUUUUGAUGACAUUGAUACCUACUUCGUGCAGUACUGACUUUCAGUGUGAACUCAAUUUGCCACUUUCUCCUAUGGAACUCCUCCAUGCUAUUCAUCAUCAAUUGAUGCUAUGCUUAUCAAGCACAUUUAUUAUUUCAUACUAUCAUUUAAUGGCAUGUAUUCAUGCAUUCAUUCAUUUCAAUUUCACAUAUACAAUUCCUUCAUGCAAAAUAAAAACCUGUAACAAUAUAUUGAUAUUAGAUUUUUUAUCAUGUUUGUUCAGCUAACACAUACAUAACAAGUUCAUAUGUAGGGUUCGCACAUCUAGAGUUCACACAUCUAGGGUUUGCACAUCUAGGGUUCGCAUGUAUAAGGUUCACAUACUAAUUCAUAUAAAGGUUUGCAUACCAAAUCAUAUAGGGGUUCAUAUACUAAGCCCAUAGGUAUUUUCAUUCCUAAAGGUUCGCACACGUAAGUUUUCACAUACAUCAGGGUUCGUACAUCUAGAGUUCACAUAUAUGGGUUCGCACAUCUAGGGUUCGCGCAUAUAGGGUUCAUAUACUAAGUUAUAUGCGGUUCGCAUACUGAAUCCAUAAGGGUUUGCAUGUAGGUUUGUAUACAUGGAGGUUCGUACAUCUAAGGUUUGCGCAUAUUAAAUCACAUAUUAUAUAACAUGGGGGUUUGCAUAUUACAUCAUACUGUAUAACAUAGAGGUUCGUAUACCACGUCAUACUAUAUAACAUAGGGGUUCACAUACUAUGUCAUACUAUAUAACAUGGGGGUUCGCAUACUACGUUAUACUAUAUAACAUAGGGGUUCGCAUACUACGUCAUACUAUAUAUCAUGGGGGUUCGCAUACUACGUCAUACUAUAUAACAUUGGGGUUCACAUACUACAUCAUACUAUAUAACAUGGGGGUUUGCAUGUUAUGUCAUACUAUAUAACAUGGGGAUUCACAUACUACGUUAUACUACAUAAAAUAAGGGGUUUGCAUAUAUAAGACUUAUAGGGUUCGCAUAUAAAAGUUGUAGAGUUUACAUGUAUAAAACGUAUAGGGUUCGCAUCUAUACACUAAGGGAUUGCACAUAUAUUCCUCCUAAGGGUUCGCAAGAAAGGGUUCACACAAUAGAUUUGUAACACCCCUAACCCAUAUCCGUCGCCGAAAUAGGGCUACGAGGUAUUACCGAUCAAUCAUAAUACAAAAGCAUACAUUUAACAUACAUUAAGUAUUUCCAUAUAAACAUCAAUCAAACAUAACCACAUCGUCCCUUAAGAGGGCCUAUGAGGCCUUAAAACAUGCUUAGAAUAAGUUCGGGACUAAACCGAUAACAUACAAAUAUUUUUGAAACUUAGAAAAUUUUCUUACAUUUAAGGGUCACACGCUUGUAUGAACAGGCCGUUGCCUCACACGGCUACCAGACAUGCUCGUGUCACAAGCCGUGUGAAAAUAGAGCAUACAUACUGACUUACACCACACGGUCAUGUGCCUUAGCCGUGGGAAAUCUGGAGGGGUUACUGACUUAGGUCACACGACUGACCAUAUGCCCGUGUGUCUGGCCCGUGUACCCUUCGAAAUGGCUACAUACGCCUAUGUGCCAAGGCUGUGUGCCUCACACGACCACCAAACACACCUGUGUGUUUAGGCCGUGCACAAGACUGACUUGAAUCUCUAAUUAUUUCCCAGGGGUCACACGGCCAUGUACUAAGGCCAUGUGCCACACAUAGUUGAACCACACGCCCUUGUGCUCAGCUGUGUGGAGUGAAAAUAGGCUUGAUUUAAGCCACAUUUCUCACCCUCCUCAAGCAUACCUAAACCACAUCAAAUUUCAUCAUUUCCAUACAUAUAUGAACAACCAAAACAUGCUAAUUCAUUCACAAUUUAUACCAUUUAUAAACCAUCCACUUAACUACUCAAAUCCAUAACCAAAACAUACCCAAUCAAUAUGCCAAAGUCAUCAAACUUACUUAACUUCUAAAUGCACUUUCUCAACAUUCUAUCAUCUAUUUCAUGCCUCAAAACAUACAAUUUCAUUAUCUCAUAAUCAAACCACAAUAUGUCAACUUUCAAGCAUCAACAUAUCAAUUAAUAACUAAUCAAGUGAGUAACCACCUAGCCAUAUCAACAACCAUGACAAACAUGCCAAAGUACAUGAAUACUUAUAUACAUCACAUAUAUCACUUAUCAAACACAUAAUUUAAGCCAACUUAAAUGGCCAUACAUACCAACAUUUACAUCAAAAGCAAGCCAAGUCUCAUGGCUAAUAUCAUGACUUAAAAAAAUACCAAAAUAACACUAGCCUAUACAUGCCAUAUACCAAAUAUACAAAGCUUCAAAAGUACCAACGAGAUGAUCGAUAGUGUGAUGAUGUUUCUCGAGUCCGAGCUAGCUUCGAUAAUCUAUAAAACAUGGAAAUAACACACAAAGUAAGCUUUAAAAGCUUAGUAAGCCAUGUAUAAAUAAAGCCAUCAUAUGAACAUUUGCAUAUCAAUUCAAAUAUGCUAAACAUAGCUAAUCAUAUUCAAAUUUACAAACCUUUCUUAUUGAACAUAUAUUCAAUAUCUUAAUCAAGUUCAUCAAAUACUUUCCCUUUUUAAUAUUCGUAUGAAUUUCAUACGUACCUGAGUCGUUUAACUCAUUAACACAUUCUUUCUUGACUUGUCUUUGCCCAUUGAAUCAUUCGGAAUCGUUAAGGAUACUCGGAAUCACAUAAAACUCGUACAAUGCCAUAUCCUAGAUAUGGUCUUAAAUGUUAUCACAUAUCGAUGCCACUGUCCCAGACAGGGUCUUACACGAAAUCGAAUAACGAUGUCAAUGUCCCAGACAUGGUCUUACAUGUAAUCACAUCUUGUAACUUAAUGUCAUGACAUUCGUAUCUUAUACUAUUCCUAAGGUUCGUACAGGACUUUUGGAUAUCGUAACUUUAUCGAUUCUUGCUCAUAAUUGUUCAUUCAACAUUUACAACCUUUCAAUUAUAAAUAUACACAUAUAAUUCAAUUUAAAGGCAUUCAUUUGUAUAUGAACUUACCUCGUAUUCGGGAUAAACGAAUUGGAUCGACUAUUCGAUAACUUUCGAUUUCCCUAGAUCUAAAUCUGAUUUCUUUCGUUCGUAGUAUAUAUAAAUUCAAAAUUAACUCUUUUAUUCCUCAAUUCAUUCAAUUUUAUCCAAAACACACAAUUUGAGAAUUUUACACAUUAACCCCUAUAAUUUCACAUUUUCUCAAUUUAGUCCCUAUUUCAUGAAAACACAAAAUUCAUGAAAUUCAAAUUAACCGAUGCUUGAAAAAAUUUCAUAGGGAGCUCUAGCAGCCUAAACUUUCAUUUAUUCACACUUUUAACCCACAUUUUUAUCUUUUCACAAAUUAAUCCCUAAUUUGUAUUUUCUCUAAAAAUCACUUAAUAAAACUUUAAUAUAUAUCAUCAAACUUUCAAAAUUCAUCAAAAAUAAUUCAAAAGCUCAAGCAUUCAUUAAUGGAAACUCACAAAUUCAUCAAAAAUUUUAGAAAUUAGGGUACGGGCUAGCUAGAUUACUAAGCAACGAUCAUAAAAACAUAAAAAUCAUCAAACAUCGAGCUCAAAACGUAUCUCAAUCAAGCCACACAAGUUCUGAACCCUAAAUGAGCUUCAAGCUUUUAUUUUCUUUUGAUUUUCUUUUAUUUUCUUUAAUUAACCUUUUAUUUUACUAAUUACCAUAAUAUCCUUAAUGAAAUUAUAAUAAAAAUUUUAUAUACAUGAUCAUAAAUGUCCAUUAACUAUUCCAAAAGUCUAAUUUCAAUAUAAGGACUUCACAUGUAAUCAACCAUAAUAAUUAAACACAUUUAACAUAUAGAAUACCAUUUUUGCAUUUUACGCGAUUUAGUCCUUUUUUGUCAAAUUGAGCUAUUAAACGAUAAAAUUAGCUACGAAAUUUUCACACAUAUAUAUUCACAUGCUGCAAACACAAAAAAUAAUAUUAAAAUAAUUUUACGACCUCAGAUUUGUGGUUUCAAAAAUACUAUUCUGAUUUCGCUAAAACCAGGUUGUUACAAGAUUACCUUAUUUUCUAAUACUUUCAAUUCAUUAAUCAUACACAAUGAUUUAAGACAAAAAAACCUUAAUUUUUGAAUGAAGAAAUAAACAAUUUAUUGGGAGGAGAGGGAUGCAAUUGAAAACCUUGAAAACUUUGGUUGCGAAUGUGAUUCGACAAUGGUGAAGAAGAAGAGAAAAUCUUGAGAGUUUUUCUUGAAAAAUUUUCUAAAUAAAAUUCCUAGGUUUCUGAAAAGAUUGACUACUUAUAGAACUUUUUUCCUAAUUGAAAUAGAAUUAAGAAUUAGUUUAUAAUUAUGGUUUAUUUAAAUUAAUGACUAAAUAAAAAAAUAGUUUUUGGUCUGGGCUAGUUUGAAAAUUCAGUACUUUAUAGGGAUAAAAAUAAAAAAUAAAAUAUUUUAGCUAAAUGCAAACAAGGGAUUAUGAACUUGAGACCAAAAGGAAAGCUAAGCUUUACCACUGAACUAGCAAACUCAUUCUUAACAUAAGCCUUCAAGAAAUUGUUUUUAAAGGUUAUGGCUAAGCAUUAAGGGAGUUUUUAAAAUAAUCGGCAAAUGGUGCAAAUAAAGGAGUUUAAACCUAGGACCUCUAGAAUAGGGGAAUAACACUUAACCAUCAAGCUUAAGGCUCAUUUCUUGUUAAUUAUUUAUUAAAAAUAAUUUUUAAGGUAUUCUAAGUUCACUAGGGUGUGAUAUAAAUAGAGGAUGAAGAGAAGUUCUACUGAAAUUAUGAAAAAGAUAGUUAUUCUAGUCAAACUAGGACUAAAAUUUGUAUACCUUAGUGUAUGGGGCUAGAUCAUUUUGCUGGCCUUUGGCGAUCCGUUCGUUCAAACUCGCCUAAGUCAGCCUUUACUCAACUGAGGAUUCCUUAAGAAGUCCUCCAAGGCACCAAUUGUAGAGCAGAAGCAAUUUAUGCCAAAAGAACAACAGAAAGAACACACAUAGAAGCGAUUUAUGCCAUAUCAAAUCCUAUUUAAUCUUUACAAGAUAUGAUUCCCUCUAUCUUCUAAAAGUAGUUACCAAAUUUUCAAUGGAAUUAAAAAAGGAAGGGUGUAGCUUGAACUUGGGCAAAUGGAAAGGGAAUUAGCAUGUUAACCAUUAGACCUAAGUCUAUUUCUUGUUUAGUUUUUAGUGUGGUUUUUAUCCUAGGGUGCUAAAUAUAAAAGGAAAAAAAAUUGAAAGGAAUGAGAUUUGAACCUAGGAUUUCUAGGAUGGGUGCACUAUCAUUUUAAUCAUUCGACCUAUAUAUUAUUUUUUGUCUAUUUAUUAAGAUUAACUCCUUAUAUUUUGGGGCAUGACAUUGCUAGAUUUCAAUUCCAGACUCAAAUAAUUGCAAUUUUCAAUUAGGAACUUAAUUGAUUUUAAAUUAUUUUACGUUUUUUUUCAUUUAUGUUGAAAAAAUUUUAAGUCAACAUUUUAACUAAAAUAAUUAACGAGGAACUUUUUUUUUUGAUUAAUUGAUAUAAAAAUAAAGAAACUAGAUUAUAUCAAAUUAAAAUAUAAAAAAUGUAAAUAUAAUAAAAAGACUAAAACCAAAAUUUCAAUAAUAGAUUGAAAAUUUAAGGCUCCAUUUGAUUUCUUACAGUAUUUUAUAUUUAUAUUUUUAGUUCUCAUUUUUCAUUUUUCAUUUUUCAUUUUUCAUUUUUGAAAUUUGAAAAACAUUUUUGGUAAAUAAGAAUACAAAUUUGUUUUGAAAAAAUGAAAACAUAAAAUAAUGCUUAAUACAUAGAAAUAUUAUAUUUUUUUAAUAUUAUAAAAUAUUUUUUAUAUAUUAUGAAUAUGUUAUAAAAAUUAUACAAUUAUAGAAAAUCAGAAAUAUUAUUAAAUAUUACUAAAACUUUAUGAAAAAUAUGAAAUUAUUAUAAAAAUUUAGAAAUUAUAGAAAAUUAUAAAAAUUAUUACAGCGAAACCAACAAGUGGUUGAGUGGUUCAAAUAUUGGAGACAACAUUGUUGGGAGGGGCAACCAAGAACCCCAAAUAUGGACCGUAAAACAAACAUGCAUAAGAUCAAAAAAAUAUAUUAAAACGAUAAAAAACCAAAAACUUAUAAAAAUUAUAAAAAAAAUUAUAGAUAUUUUAUUUUAAAGUUUUGGAAUCUUUAGUUUCGUUAAUAAGGAAAUAAAGAACUUAAAUUAUGAUGGUGAUUGAAUUUGUACUGGGUGUCGAGUGAGGUGUUUAAGUGACAAUAAGUUUAGUGCUUGGCAGAUUAAGGUGAGUUUAGUGAUGGAUUAAGAAGAGCAAUAAGUAUUAGUUUUGGUUGAUGAGGUGAUGCGAGAGAAAUUAAUAAAGAUAGAUUGUGGUAUGACGUAAGACAGUGUGUAAGGGAAGAUAAAAAAAGAGUAGUAACUUUUAUUCAAAAAUUUUUAAAAUUAAUACAAAUUAUUGAAAUAUUACAAGAAAUUUUAGAAAACUAUGUAAAUUAUUCAAAAUUUAUUAAAUAUAAUAAAAAUUCAAAAAUUGCUAUUUUUAUAUUUUUAAUAAACCUUUAUAAUAUUUUAUUAUUUUAUAUUAUUAUAUAAAUUUUUUAUAGUUUUUUAAAUAAAAUUUUAAUAAUUUUCUAUAAUGUCUAAAACUCAAUUAAGCUUCAUAAAAUGAUUAAAAAAAUCAAUUAAGCCUUCCACUUUUAACAAUUUUCAAGGUAAAAGUACCAUGAAAGCCCCUAUACUAAGAGUCAAAUUGUAUUUUACCCCCUCUAUUAAAAAAUGGGCAAAUUAGUCCUUACAUAAUAGAUCAAAGAGCAAAUUGGUCAUUUCUGUUUAAAAUUUCAUCCAUUUGUACUAUUAAAAACUGAUGUGGCUGAUAGAAUAAUCAGAUAUUGACACGUAACAUGCCACAUGUACCUCAUACUGACGUACAAAGAUCAAAUUUUUAUAGCAAAAAUGGAUAAAAAUUUUAAUAAAAGGGUCAGCUUGCUCUUUAGACCUAAUGUAUAAGGACUAAUUUGCCGAUUUUUUGAGUAAAGGGGACAACAUGCAAUCCAACUCCUAAUACAGGGGUCUCUAUUAUACUUUUACCCAAUUUUCAAUGACAAACACCACAUCAGUUGCCACAUCAGUAUUUCCCACGUCAACUAUCGUGUCAUCACUUAACAGGCCGUCAGGGGCUUCAACGAAAAACUAUAUUUCAAGAGCUCAAUUGAUUGCUAAUUUUUUUAUUAGGAGGUUAUUUGAUUGUAAUUUUCGAUUAAGGUCUUGAUUAAUUUUUAAUUAUUUUACAAGGGCUUUUUUUAUAUUUAAAUAUUUUUUUCUUAAAACUCGUCAAUGACAUUAUAAUAAUAGAAGGAUCAAACUCUGUCAAAUUGACUAAAUUCUAAAUUUGAAUAGUACUAAAAGGAGUAAAAUCAAAAUUUGACAAAUAUAUUCAAAAUCUAAAUUCCUUAUCUUUUCUCCCUUGCAUGUCUCGUUUUCUAAAAGUAAAUUUGGAGCUUUCAUAAUCCUGAUUCGACGACUAACAAGGCGGGAUUACAACAUUUUUAUAUACUAGAAUAGUGUUGAUUAUUUAUUUGUAUAAAUUUAUAAAGUAAAAAUUUGAAGGUAAAAAUAUGCUUUUAGUUUCUAUACAUUUAUAUAUUUAGAAUUUAGUUUCUAGCCAUUUCUUUCUGGCUUUAUGGUAUAAUAGAAACAAAAGUUAUCUUAAGGGGAUUAAGGAAUGGGUUCAAGAUAUAGUGGGAUUUAUAAAUGCAUACAACUUAGAAAUUGAGCAGUUGGGCAAAUUGUCGAUUACCUUGAAUAAUCCAAGCGUGUCUGUUUGGAAGCCUCUAAAGGAGGAUGUUAUAAAGGUUAACUUUGAUGCUUCUUAUAAUCAACAGCUACGCAUUUCAAGCUCGGGUAUUAUAGCACGUAACACGGAAGGAAUGGUAAUGGCGUCCUGUACCUAUCCAUGGGAGAAUAUUCUGGAUUUGACCAUGGCAGAGGCUCGAACGUGUUUGCAGGUGAUUACCUUUGUAGAGGAACUGGGUUUUCGUGAAGUUUGUAUCGAAGGAGAUGCCUUAAAUGUUAUCAAGAGAAUAAAUUCUACAGGAGAGGACAGAUCUAACAUUAGCAAUAUGAUAAACGAAAUUCAGAGAAGAGCACUUAAUUUUAGAAGUGUAAAGUUCAGGUUUGUACCCUGGGCGACGAACGUGUCGGCGCAUGGAAUGGUGAUGGAAGGCAAGAGGCAUGACUACCCCAUGUACUAGAUAGAGGAAGUCCCGAGGGAGGUGGAAAAGCUCAUUGAUAGAGAUAUGAGAGGAUUUGAGGAGAGUAAACAAGUGUGAAGGCUGAGUCCGGGCUCGAAGGCGAUUGAUAGUCUGAGGAACUCGAUGGCCUAAGAAAAAGGCUAGUUACUAGUGUGUUGGAGUACGAAAUGAUGGAAGGAUCUAAUGACCUUUUUGUUUUACUUAUGCACGGGGGAGGAUCGGAAGGAGUUCGUAGAUGAAGGGAUUUUUCAAAUCUGGGGACGUUUCAUUUUAUGUUUUUCUUAUUUUGUUUUCGGUUGUUGUGUUGGCUUUGUUAGGAUUUGUUUUUGUUUUUAAUUUUUAG
rnacentral:lncRNA from 1 species